rnacentral:lncRNA from 1 species
UGGAAAGAUAAAUGAAUGCCUAAAUGAAUGAGUGAAUGAUUUAUCAAUGAAUGAGUUGAACUGAAUGACAAACCCACAGUUAGACAUUGUGACUUUAGAGUCAGAAUUGAUGAAGUCUCAAGAUGCUUUGUGAACUAGUACAUCUUUUCAAGUUCAGGAUGAUGCUUGUAUAAGUAGCUCUUUCUGUUUAUCUGACCACAUGCAUUAUCUUUGAAGACCUAAGCUGACAUCAUCCACACCUGUGAGAGGCCCAGAUACCUGUGUAUGUGUGUUUGUGUUCAUGGAGGACUUCUUUAUAGCCAGCCAAAUUGCAAGCUUCCCAGGGGCAGGAAGGAUAUUGAGGACAGAACUUCUACCCUGGCAAAAAUCUAAGGACCUCAGAAGGGACUCUUCUCACCCCAACAGCCUCCUAAGCUGGAUCAUGUUAUCCUCAGAAGGAGGGAUCAUCUACUUCUGGAGUCAGUGCCUUUCCAAGUUUCCCUUGCUGGCUCAAGAUGGUGGUGUGGUUUGACGACGACAAAACGAUGCCCUGAUCAUACAGAACAGACUUUUUGUGGUGGAUUCAGCUACCUCAAGAGUGUAUAUACAGGAACAACUGGGCGGCUCAGUUGGCUAAAUGUCUGACUCUUGAUCUCAAAGUUGUGAGUUUAAGCCCCAUGUUGGGCAUCACAAAGUAUUACGCAGUACUGCUUCUACCACCAGGGGACAGGAAAAGGAAUGGGUAAUCUAGAAGCCACUAAUAAAACUAAACGCUUAUCUGAG